AACGCGAAGAACCUUACCAGGUCUUGACAUCCUCUGACACUCCUAGAGAUAGGACGUUCCCCUUCGGGGGACAGAGUGACAGGUGGUGCAUGGUUGUCGUCAGCUCGUGUCGUGAGAUGUUGGGUUAAGUCCCGCAACGAGCGCAACCCUUGAUCUUAGUUGCCAGCAUUUAGUUGGGCACUCUAAGGUGACUGCCGGUGACAAACCGGAGGAAGGUGGGGAUGACGUCAAAUCAUCAUGCCCCUUAUGACCUGGGCUACACACGUGCUACAAUGGAUGGUACAAAGGGCUGCAAAACCGCGAGGUCGAGCCAAUCCCAUAAAACCAUUCUCAGUUCGGAUUGUAGGCUGCAACUCGCCUACAUGAAGCUGGAAUCGCUAGUAAUCGUGGAUCAGCAUGCCACGGUGAAUACGUUCCCGGGCCUUGUA
rnacentral:rRNA from 1 species